GACGAACGCUGGCGGCGUGCCUAAUACAUGCAAGUAGAACGCACAGGAUGCACCGUAGUUUACUACACCGUAUUCUGUGAGUUGCGAACGGGUGAGUAACGCGUAGGUAACCUGCCUGGUAGCGGGGGAUAACUAUUGGAAACGAUAGCUAAUACCGCAUAAGAACAUUUACUGCAUGGUAGAUGUUUAAAAGGUGCAAAUGCAUCACUACCAGAUGGACCUGCGUUGUAUUAGCUAGUUGGUGAGGUAACGGCUCACCAAGGCAACGAUACAUAGCCGACCUGAGAGGGUGAUCGGCCACACUGGGACUGAGACACGGCCCAGACUCCUACGGGAGGCAGCAGUAGGGAAUCUUCGGCAAUGGGGGGAACCCUGACCGAGCAACGCCGCGUGAGUGAAGAAGGUUUUCGGAUCGUAAAGCUCUGUUGUUAAGGAAGAACGUGUGUGAGAGUGGAAAGUUCACACAGUGACGGUACUUAACCAGAAAGGGACGGCUAACUACGUGCCAGCAGCCGCGGUAAUACGUAGGUCCCGAGCGUUGUCCGGAUUUAUUGGGCGUAAAGCGAGCGCAGGCGGUUAGAUAAGUCUGAAGUGAAAGGCAGUGGCUCAACCAUUGUAGGCUUUGGAAACUGUUUAACUUGAGUGCAGAAGGGGAGAGUGGAAUUCCAUGUGUAGCGGUGAAAUGCGUAGAUAUAUGGAGGAACACCGGUGGCGAAAGCGGCUCUCUGGUCUGUAACUGACGCUGAGGCUCGAAAAGCGUGGGGAGCGAACAGG
rnacentral:rRNA from 1 species